CAAACGUCUGAAGCGAAGUGCUUGGCUGUAAAUAACACUUUUUUUACACGAAGGUGGGUGGAAAGAUUUAGCAUGUAAAAGGGUGCAUAUAUCAGUGGGUUUCACGAAUAGGGUGCUUUCCAGGAGACCACUGUUGUUAUUAAGAUAAAUUGUGGUGUCAAGGAAAUUUAUUCUUGCUCUAGAUUGUUGUGCUUCAAAUUUAAUCGUGUUGUGCACAUUGUUGGUAUGGGCAAGGAAUUCAGUGAGGGAAGCCUCAUCAUAUUGCCAUAUCAUGAAUAUAUCAUCGAUAAAUCGUUUCCAGAGUAGAGGUUUCUUCCCCUCGGGGGCUGUGGAGAGGAUAUAUUCUUCAAUAACAGACAUAAAAAUGUUUGCAAAGUUUGGGGCAAAAGGGGUACCCAUGGCAGUGCCAUGUGUCUGUAGAUAUGGCUGUCCAUUGAAGGAGAAAUAAUUCCCUUUUAGUAUAAACUCAAACAUUUGUUGUAGGUGUGUGGCUGGUAGAGGUAGUCCAGUGGCAUAAAAAUCAAUUAACGCCAUCAUGCAAUGUAGAAUACCCUCAUCCUGUGGUAUAUUAGUAUAGAGGGAUUUAACAUCCAGGGUACACAGGAUGAUACCUGGUGGAAAAUUAUGUCUCUCUCUAAAUAUAAUUUGGAGAAAAUGAUUGGUGUCCUUGAUGUAUGAGGGUAUAGUUUUAACAAUCGGUUUUAAAAAAUGGUCCAGAAAUUUGGAGAGUUUCUCAGUGGGUGAGCCACACCCCGAGAUUAUUGGUCUGCCCGGUAUGAGGUCGUUAAUCUUUGGCUUGUGUAUUUUUGGUAAAAGGUAGAAUUCGGGGGUGCGGGGGUGGGGGCUUGGUUCAAGGAACUCAUAACAUUGUUGUGUGAGAAGAUUCCGACCUAGUAGAUGUGUUAAGAACGUUGUGAUCUGGGUGGAUAGCAGCUGUAUUCCAUCAGAUUCUAGUUUACGGUAGUGGAGGGGGUUGGACAGCUGAUUGUUAGCUUCCUUAAGGUAAGCCUCUAUAGACCAUAAGACAAUGGCUCCUCCUUUGUCCGCGGGUUUGAUGGUUAUGUCCUUGCGGGUGCAUAAAGUUUUAAUGCUCUCAGUUUCUAUUGGGGUAAGGUUAUGGGGUGUAGGGUUAGCAGCUGACCUUAUGAUCUUGUUGAUGUCGACGGAGAUUUUAUCAAAAUAUUGUUGUAAUUGAGGGCAGACAUCAUCAGGGGGGGCCCAAAAUGAUUUCCUUCUAAAGGGUUCAGGUACCGUCCUGGGGGGAUGGGAGUGGAAAAAAUAUUGCAGUCGCAUUCGACGUAUAAAGUCAUCGAGUCCUUGUAAGAUGAGAUCAUUGUCAACCGGACCGGGGGCAGGAACAAACGAUAGUCCCCUGUUCAGCAGAGAUAUCUCACUUGUUGAAAUGUGAGCUGAGGAUAGAUUGACAAUGUUAUUGAUUGGUUUAGUGGCCAGGAUGGCCUUUUUGAGCAGCUUUUUGUGUGCAUUUUUAGUUAGUUUAUUGGUAUGUUUUCUUCGCUUGGUGCCAAUGGUUUUCCUGAGUAUGGUGCGUUUGGACGCUGUGCUAGGAUUGGCCGUGUACAUAUUGCAAUCACUGUCAGUGAUGGAUUCUGGUGAGGAAAGGAUGUCUUCCUCCAUAAAGUUGGCCAUUUCAUAUGUUAGAAUGACGCGCGUAGUAUGAUAAAUAGGUAACAGAACGUAGGUGACCUUACAAUCUUGGCGGCGUGGUGAAACAAAUAAGUAAAUCAUAGAACGAGGCCUGGACUGUUUUAAGGUAAAAUAGAUUGUUGCUGACAGCAGUUGUCAGGUAGACAGUAUGAGAUGGCUCCCCAUAGCAGGGGAGUAUUAGCACAGCGAGCAAUGAGGCACGCUGUGAACCAUGUGUAGUAAGCCACACCCCAAGCGGGAGAGGUGCACACAGGGGCGGCCCGUCAAGGGGCCCUGGGUUUUCCUCCUGCAUGAACAAUGUUUUUAUAGGUAUAGAAGGUAAAAACUAAAAAACCAAUAUGUGAAUAAAAGUAUAAAAUCCAAAAUAGAAGAAUGAGAAAAAAGGAGAUAAGGAGUAGUCACUACCACCUGGUCACAGCCUCAAACUCCGAUGGGGGGUGGUUGUGUGUGCCCAUAUAUGUUUUAAACAAUUAGCUUGUAAGUGGGCAGAAAAUGAUAAAAAAGCAACUCAUCAGCCAGAAACCCACGAGGGACAUUUCGGGGCUUUAAUUCGGUAUGUCCGUUUCUCGUGGGCGCCCCUCGCAAUCCUGCGUCCAGGAUCACGGUUGCAAAAUAAAUAUAUACGCAAAUAAAAAUGAAAAUUAAUAAUCAGUGAAUGCCGUACCUUAGGUGUAACUGUGCCUCUAGUGUAAUAUUUACAUAUUGUAAAUUUUAAGGGCGCAUGAUGCUUCGAGAAGCGGCUUUGUAUUGAUGGCCUAUUUUAGAGUGUACCAAUCGAUCCUUGAGGUUAGGCCUUCUGGUGAGGGCUAGAACCGGUCUGGUGUCAUUCCAUAUUUGUUUAAGAUAAGCAUCAGCUGAGAUCAAGUGCCAAUGUUUAGUAAGGACGGAACCUAUAUUUAUAGUUUUUAUGUCGAAUGGGACAACAAAAGGUAGGACUUGUGGUUUAGGUGGAGGGGGUUCGAAGUUGAGGUGCUGAGGGGUGGUUUCAUUGUUGGCGGGGUUUCCUGGGAAGAGGAGCUCGUAUUGGGUGACAUAUGUCAGUUUACUAAAUUCGGUGGUGAUAUCUUGAGAUUCAUAACCUCUUAUGAUUAGGUUUUUUUGGAGUGCUUUGAGGUGUUUGUGGAGUUCAUUGUUGUCUGUGAUCAAACGUCUGAAGCGAAGUGCUUGGCUGUAAAUAACACUUUUUUUACACGAAGGUGGGUUGUUUUUAUAGGUAUAGAAGGUAAAAACUAAAAAACCAAUAUGUGAAUAAAAGUAUAAAAUCCAAAAUAGAAGAAUGAGAAAAAAGGAGAUAAGGAGUAGUCACUACCACCUGGUCACAGCCUCAAACUCCGAUGGGGGGUGGUUGUGUGUGCCCAUAUAUGUUUUAAACAAUUAGCUUGUAAGUGGGCAGAAAAUGAUAAAAAAGCAACUCAUCAGCCAGAAACCCACGAGGGACAUUUCGGGGCUUUAAUUCGGUAUGUCCGUUUCUCGUGGGCGCCCCUCGCAAUCCUGCGUCCAGGAUCACGGUUGCAAAAUAAAUAUAUACGCAAAUAAAAAUGAAAAUUAAUAAUCAGUGAAUGCCGUACCUUAGGUGUAACUGUGCCUCUAGUGUAAUAUUUACAUAUUGUAAAUUUUAAGGGCGCAUGAUGCUUCGAGAAGCGGCUUUGUAUUGAUGGCCUAUUUUAGAGUGUACCAAUCGAUCCUUGAGGUUAGGCCUUCUGGUGAGGGCUAGAACCGGUCUGGUGUCAUUCCAUAUUUGUUUAAGAUAAGCAUCAGCUGAGAUCAAGUGCCAAUGUUUAGUAAGGACGGAACCUAUAUUUAUAGUUUUUAUGUCGAAUGGGACAACAAAAGGUAGGACUUGUGGUUUAGGUGGAGGGGGUUCGAAGUUGAGGUGCUGAGGGGUGGUUUCAUUGUUGGCGGGGUUUCCUGGGAAGAGGAGCUCGUAUUGGGUGACAUAUGUCAGUUUACUAAAUUCGGUGGUGAUAUCUUGAGAUUCAUAACCUCUUAUGAUUAGGUUUUUUUGGAGUGCUUUGAGGUGUUUGUGGAGUUCAUUGUUGUCUGUGAUCAAACGUCUGAAGCGAAGUGCUUGGCUGUAAAUAACACUUUUUUUACACGAAGAUGAAAUGAAAGCCUAUAAUUACUUGAUAAAUUUUUCAAAGUAAAGUGAUGCAGUCCAAACGCAGAUGUCCAAACGCAGAAGCAGACAGCAGCUCUUAGUUUUUCAAAAGGAAAGAAUGAUUAGAUCUUUAUUACAUUGCAACACAGCUAAACUUUCUUGCAAUGUUCCAAGAACUUUCCUUGAAAAAUUAUUCGUUGGUGUCUAUUGCCCUUACCUCAAUUGCCUCAGGCUGGAUAUGGUACAAAGCAGUUUGUUAUCAAUGCAAAUUCAUUAAAAGGUUUCCAGGUGACAUGUCCGUAAUCAAUAGAAUGUCAGUGUAAUUGCAACAUUGACACAUCGGUCUGGUUUCGUCUGAAUAAAACUGUUCAAACAAAAUGGCUAGUGGUAGUACCGUCUACAAUGUCAGAUAUAUGCUGUUGUAAUGAAUAUGCUAGGAAGUUUCAAUCUUGUUUUCUUUUUGUUUAGUUUCUCGAAAAUUCGAGUCAUGUUUGGAGAAAAAAGGGAUUAAUCAAUUGUCUUCUCUUAUAUUACAACUUUAAUCUGUUAUAACUAUCGUUUAAAUAAAGUAACUACAUCUAAUACAUGAUCAUGACUGCAAACCUCUGCUUGAAAGAUGUUUUUAUAGGUGAAUAAAAGUUUUGAAGAAGUUGUAAAUGUGUAAAAUUUAACUGACCUUAAAUUACACGAAAGUUAAUAUUUUUGUCAAUGUGCAUACAUAUGAUAAAAUUAAAAUUCAUGCUAAAAGAGCUUUAAUAAAAGCAAAGUCUCCAUAGAGAUUAUUAACUCUUUCAAGGCAUUCUGAAGACAAAAGAUGUUUAUACAAACGUUGAUAGACCGAUUGUUACUUUAUCUGGCUAAGUUAAACAUCGCAUCGUUUAGAGAGAGGACAAUAAAGCACACUAGUCUGGCAAACUUUUAGGUGACUGUCAAGUCUCCUGUGAAGAUACUUGCUGUAACACGAAGCCAGUUUGCUGACAAAAAGCAAAGUUUGGGAAUCGAAGCAUUUGCUGACAUGUCUGUUCCUGUAUAUCUCGCAGCAUUCCUCUGUUCAAUUGCAUUGUCAGACGUAGCAGGCAAGUAUUAAUAUUUUUCAUACAUUCUGCAUAUUAGCCUUCUUUAAAUAUUGUGCUGUAAAAACAAAGAAAGGCUAAUCGUAAUAAAAUUUGGAAAUGCACGGUUUUAAAGACACUUUCAUCAUCAUCAUCAUUAGCCCCUAGUCGGUGAACCGUAGAGGCACUUCGACUUUGACGCGACAGAAAGUUCCUUCUAUGCGGCUAGGUUGCAAGAAAUACUGCAGCACUCUUCCAAUGACUUUCCGGUCCACGAGCUGAUUUCGGCACACUAGUUGUUCCACAGCCUUCCUCUAGGCCUGAUGUCUUCGACCAUGACCUGCAGAACUUGGUGGGCCAACGUCUCUGCUUGACGGGAAGUGUGUCCGUAAAAUUGCAUUUUUCUUCUUCUCCCUGCUUCUAGCAAUGGCUCAUCGUCUCCUAUCUCGAACUUGAUUCUUUCUCUUACGGUUUGGUUUGUCACUUGGUCUUUCCAGCUGCUGUUGAGAAGUCUUCUAAAAAUCUUCAUUUCGAACGCUUCUAAUCUAGUUUCAAUCGUUUUAAUGAAUAUCCAACUUUGGCAUGCAUAAAGAAGUGUAGACUUAAUGAGUAAAUUUAACAGCUUGGUUUUUGUUCUCAUUCUGAUUUUGUUAUUUUGCCACACUUUAUUCAAUUUUUCCUAGCUGACUGGUCGCGAUUGCAAUUCGUUUUUUCACUUCUCUCGUAGAACUUACAUCGUUGUCUAUAGUUUAGCAGAGGUAAACAAAGUUCUUAACGUUUCCAAGCUUUUCGUUAUUAAUUUGGAUUUCGACUACAUUAUCAUCAUCUUUGUUUCGCGUUGUUACCAUCAAAUUUUUAUACCAAACUGUUUCGACAUCUUAUUGAGUCGAUCCGUUAGUUCUUUUAGUUCCUCGGGUGAUCCGGUAAUUAGGUCAAUAAUAUCAGCGAAUUGCAGGUUUGUUAUAGUUCAUCCUCAAAUUUUCACUGUUCCUACACAAUCUUGCAAAGCGUUGCCAAUGAUUGAUUCUAAGAACGCAUUGAAUAACGUUGGUAAGAGUAGGCAUCCCUGGAGUACAGUAGUACUAACCCAUAGUUGGUCCGUAUCACCGAGUACAGCGCUCUUGCUAUUGUCAUAUAGUUCUUUCAUCAGAAUCUUUCAUCAUAAGAAUUUUAAACAACAAUUAAGACAACUUGUUUUGCACCUUGUUCUUUGUUGCACUUUCAAAACAAACAUCGAAUCUGUUGCAAAAUCUAUCGGUGGCGCGAACAACUAGGCUUUGGGGGAGGGGAGGUGGACAAAACAAAAGUUUUCAAGCCAGGCACUUUAACCGCCAGAAAAUACAUCUGAAAAGAAAAUGCUAUUCAUGUUCCAUGGUUUUGAAAUUUUUCAUUUUUUUCUAUUACUCGACAUUUGAAAAGAAAUAUUAUUCUUGAGCUGUAAUCUUUUGAAUGCUAUUGUAGCAAAGUUUUAUCGUACCCGAUGGUUACCAUCGACUCAAGCACACAAUCUGUAUCGAUUUAUAUCGUUUCUGCCACCCCUUAUGCUCUAGCUUCUCCCUAGCCACGCCCUAUCCAAGGUGAUUGCCUUAAAAAUUGGAGGAAGAUUUUGACAAGGAAAAAUUUUGACCGGAGGUAGGUUAAGAACAUUUCUGGACUUUGGCUGCCAGCUACUUUCCCAACCCUUAAUUAUUUGAUUGAAAUCCCCACAUCUUCUUUUAAGAUGUAAAGCUCUUCCUGUUCCUCUUCUAGAUUCUCCCCUGGACCUCCUCUCCAGGACAUCACCUUUCGUUGUAUAGUUUUUCAACUUGUUCUGUCCAUCUUUUUUGGAUUUCUGGUCCUUCACUGUCUUUAAUCGCGGUCAAAGUUUUUGCAGCAUUUUCAUUCGUAAUUUUCUUUAUCGCUUCAAAAUAAAUUUUCGUGUUGUUGUGUUCAAAGCCGUGUUCGAUUCCGCUCUUUAAUUCAGCCAGUCAUCUUUGCUUCUUUAAUACUUUAUCUUUCUCUAUAAUUCCUUACACUCACUAGGCAUGUGCAUAUGUAGUAGACUUCUUCUUUAGACUUGCAACAUUAUUCCUGUAGACUUCUCAAGCAAGAGAUAAACACGUUUGUUUGAGAGAUUGCUUAAUAUAGGAAUACAAUCAAAUCAUAUGCGCAGACACAUGAUGUCAUACAGUAAUGAUGAUAAUAAUAAUAAUAAUGAAAACAUUUUUUAUUUUAUAUUCUUCUACUUACAACAGUAACCUCACUUUACAGGUAGUUACU